UACAGAGGGUGCAAGCGUUGUUCGGAAUUAUUGGGCGUAAAGCGCGUGUAGGCGGCUUUGCAAGUCGGGUGUGAAAGCCCUCGGCUCAACCGAGGAAGUGCGCCCGAAACUGCAGAGCUUGAGUACCGGAGAGGAUGGCGGAAUUCCCCAAGUAGAGGUGAAAUUCGUAGAUAUCGGGAGGAACACCAGUGGCGAAGGCGGCGACCUGGGCCAAUAUUGACGCUGAGGUGCGAAAGCGUGGGGAGCAAACAGG
rnacentral:rRNA from 1 species